rfam:Otolemur garnettii contig188851, whole genome shotgun sequence.
ACUGGGUUAGCUGUCUGUGCCUGUGGCCCCAGCUACUUGGGAGGCUGAGGCAGGACGAUCACUUGAGCUCAGGAGUUCUGGACUCUAAGUUCUCAUGCACUAAGUUUGGCAUCAAUAUGGUGAACUUCUGGGAGUAGGGGACCACCGGGUUGCCUAAGGAGAAUGAACUGGCUCAGAUUGGAAAUGGAGAGGGUGAAACUCCCAUGUUGGUCAGUAGUGGGAUCACCCCUGUGAACAGCCACUGCUCUCCAGCCUGAGCAACAUAAUGAGGCCCUGUCUCUA